UUACGGUCAAAUCACGCUGAAACACCGGUUCUCGUUCGAUCACCGAAGUUAAGCAUCGUAGAGCCAGGUCAGUACUUAGAUGGGGGACCGCUUGGGAACACCUGGUACUGUGA